rnacentral:rRNA from 1 species
CGGGUUAGUGGCGGACGGGUGAGUAACGCGUGAGAAUCUGCCCUCAGGAGGGGGAUAACAGCUGGAAACGGCUGCUAAUACCCCAUAUGCCGCGAGGUGAAAUGAAUUUCGCCUGAGGAUGAGCUCGCGUCUGAUUAGCUAGUUGGUGUGGGUAACGGCUCACCAAGGCAUCGAUCAGUAGCUGGUCUGAGAGGAUGAUCAGCCACACUGGGACUGAGACACGGCCCAGACUCCUACGGGAGGCAGCAGUGGGGAAUUUUCCGCAAUGGGCGAAAGCCUGACGGAGCAACGCCGCGUGAGGGAUGAAGGCCUCUGGGCUGUAAACCUCUUUUAUCAAGGAAGAAGAUCUGACGGUACUUGAUGAAUAAGCCACGGCUAAUUCCGUGC